ACGGAGAGGUUUGUAGUCCUCGGCGUACAGGAGUGAACGGCUGGCGGCGUAGCUUAACACAUGCAAGUCGACGAAGCACUUAAGACGGAUUACUUCGGUUUGAAGUCUUAUUUGACUGAGUGGCGGACGGUGAGUAACGCGUGGGUAACCUGCCUCAGUACAGGGGGAUAACAGUUAGAAAUGACUGCUAAUACCGCAUAAGCGCACGGUCUCGCAUGGGACAGUGUGAAAAACUCCGGUGGUAUGAGAUGGACCCGCGUCUGAUUAGCUGGUUGGUGAGGUAAGGGCUCACCAAGGCGACGAUCAGUAGCCGGCCUGAGAGGGUGAACGGCCACAUUGGGACUGAGACACGGCCCAAACUCCUACGGGAGGCAGCAGUGGGGAAUAUUGCACAAUGGGGGAAACCCUGAUGCAGCGACGCCGCGUGAAGGAAGAAGUAUUUCGGUAUGUAAACUUCUAUCAGCAGGGAAGAAAAUGACAGUACCUGACUAAGAAGCCCCGGCUAACUACGUG
rnacentral:rRNA from 1 species